AGCUCCAAUAGCGUAUAUUUUAGUUGUUGCAGUUAAAAAGCUCGUAGUUGAAUUUCUGGUGGGAGGAUGUGGUGCAACGUAGUUGCUACUGGCAGCCUCCGGCCAUCCUUGGGUUUAGCCAUUCUGGCAUUAAGUUGUCGGGGUGGGGAUGUCCAUCGUUUACUGUGAAAAAAUUAGAGUGUUCAAAGCAGACUUAUGUCGUUGAAUAUAUUAGCAUGGAAUAAUAAGAUAGGACUACAGUGCUAUUUUGUUGGUUUGCGCACCGUGGUAAUGAUGAAUAGGGACAGUUGUGGGUAUUCGUAUUCACUUGUAAGAGGUGAAAUUCUUAGAUUAAGGGAAGACGAACAAAAGCGAAAGCAUUUACCAAGGAUGUUUUCA
rnacentral:rRNA from 1 species